ensembl:misc_RNA 7SK 7SK RNA
GAGAGUGAGAGUGAUCUGGCUGCGAUAUCUGUCUUUCCGUUAACUACCAGGGUUGAUUCAGUCUGAUCUGGCUGGCAAGCUGAGUGUUCCUUUUCCUCCCUCACCGCUCCAUGUACAUUUCUCCCAAAAUUGCCCGCUCAGUCAGAGAGGAAGACCAUUCCCAAAUAGAGACGGACUGAAAUAUUAUAUAUGGGUACACAAGUAGUUCUCUUGCUAGAAUGUCCAAACAAACUCUCCAGGGGCUAAUUUCCUGCCUUGUAGGAGCAAGUACUCUCUGUGGAUGAGAGUGGGAAGGAAGGCUUCAAGUUUGGUGAAUUAAUUU